AGAGUUUGAUCAUGGCUCAGAUUGAACGCUGGCGGCAGGCCUAACACAUGCAAGUCGAGCGGUAGAGAGAAGCUUGCUUCUCUUGAGAGCGGCGGACGGGUGAGUAAUGCCUAGGAAUCUGCCUGGUAGUGGGGGAUAACGUCCGGAAACGGACGCUAAUACCGCAUACGUCCUACGGGAGAAAGCAGGGGACCUUCGGGCCUUGCGCUAUCAGAUGAGCCUAGGUCGGAUUAGCUAGUUGGUGGGGUAAUGGCUCACCAAGGCGACGAUCCGUAACUGGUCUGAGAGGAUGAUCAGUCACACUGGAACUGAGACACGGUCCAGACUCCUACGGGAGGCAGCAGUGGGGAAUAUUGGACAAUGGGCGAAAGCCUGAUCCAGCCAUGCCGCGUGUGUGAAGAAGGUCUUCGGAUUGUAAAGCACUUUAAGUUGGGAGGAAGGGCAGUAAAUUAAUACUUUGCUGUUUUGACGUUACCGACAGAAUAAGCACCGGCUAACUCUGUGCCAGCAGCCGCGGUAAUACAGAGGGUGCAAGCGUUAAUCGGAAUUACUGGGCGUAAAGCGCGCGUAGGUGGUUCGUUAAGUUGGAUGUGAAAUCCCCGGGCUCAACCUGGGAACUGCAUUCAAAACUGACGAGCUAGAGUAUGGUAGAGGGUGGUGGAAUUUCCUGUGUAGCGGUGAAAUGCGUAGAUAUAGGAAGGAACACCAGUGGCGAAGGCGAGCACCUGGACUGAUACUGACACUGAGGUGCGAAAGCGUGGGGAGCAAACAGGAUUAGAUACCCCGGUAGU
rnacentral:rRNA from 1 species